GACGAACGCUGGCGGCGUGCUUAACACAUGCAAGUCGAACGGAAAGGCCCUGCUUUUGUGGGGUGCUGGGGUGGCGAAGGGGUGAGUAACACGAGAGUAACCUGACCUUGACUUUGGGAUAACUUCAGGAAACUGAGGCGAAUACAGGAUAGGAGCUCCUGCUGCAUGGGGGGGGUGGGAAAGUUGCGGCGGUUGGGGAUGGUGUCGAGGGUUAUCAGCUUGUUGGUGGGGUAGGGGCUGACCAAGGCUUUGAAGGGUGGCCGGCCUGAGAGGGUGACCGGCCACGUUGGGACUGAUAUGCGGCCCAGACUCCUACGGGAGGCAGCAGUGGGGAAUAGUGCACAACGGGCGGACGCCUGAUGCAGCAACGCCGCGUGCGGUAUGACGGCCUUCGGGUUGUAAACCGCUUUCGCCUGUUACGAAGCGUGAUUGACGGUAAUGGGUAAAGAAGCACCGGCUAACUACGUG
rnacentral:rRNA from 1 species